rnacentral:misc_RNA from 1 species
CUAAUAACUUUGACUCCCAAUUUAUCAGCUCUAAGAAUUGCUUGCUCUAUUUGGUUAUUAAUUCCAUCAGCUGCAAAUGGCAAAAAAUACUGAAAUCCAAAGCGAGGAACAACCCAAGUUUGAUGCAAUCGACCCCUCAAGUUAUAAAAAGUAGCUAAAAAGACCUUGGAGUAUGCCCACAUGACAAACAUGAACACAAAAACUAAUGGCAAAAAUGGAAGCAAAAAUAGUCUUGUGCAAAAUGGUGUUGAAG